rfam:Schistosoma rodhaini strain Burundi genome assembly, scaffold: SROB_scaffold0003778
CCACUGCUGAGGAGUUCCAUAAUUGGACGUAACGGCCGUCCAGUGC